GCAUCAAUGGGGUAGUGGUAACCUGGAUCGUUGCCACUCUACGACCUUGACUCGAUCCGCCGGGGGUUCGAUUCCCCCUUGAUGCA
rfam:Coprinopsis cinerea okayama7#130 chromosome 5 cont3.5, whole genome shotgun sequence.